CAGUAGCCGCGGGAAUACGUAGGGAGCAAGCGUUGUUCGGAUUUACUGGGCGUAAAGGGCGCGUAGGCGGCGCGGCAAGUCACUUGUGAAAUCUCUGAGCUUAACUCAGAACGGCCAAGUGAUACUGCUGUGCUAGAGUGCGGAAGAGGCAACCGGAAUUCUUGGUGUAGCGGUGAAAUGCGUAGAUAUCAAGAGGAACACCUGAGGCGAAGGCGGGUUGCUGGGCCGACACUGACGCUGAUGCGCGAAAGCCAGGGGAGCAAACGGGAUUAGAGACCCCAGUAGUCCCUGUCUCUUAUAC
rnacentral:rRNA from 1 species